rnacentral:rRNA from 1 species
AUUGAACGCUGGCGGCAUGCUUUACACAUGCAAGUCGAACGGCAGCGCGGGCUUCGGCCUGGCGGCGAGUGGCGAACGGGUGAGUAAUACAUCGGAACGUGCCCAGUAGUGGGGGAUAGCUCGGCGAAAGCCGGACUAAUACCGCACACGACCUGAGGGUGAAAGCGGGGGAUCUUUGGACCUCGCGCUAUUGGAGCGGCCGAUGGCAGAUUAGCUAGUUGGUGGGGUAAAGGCCUACCAAGGCGACGAUCUGUAGCUGGUCUGAGAGGACGACCAGCUACACUGGAACUGAGACACGGCCCAGACUCCUACGGGAGGCAGCAGUGGGGAAUUUUGGACAAUGGGCGAAAGCCUGAUCCAGCAAUGCCGCGUGUGUGAUGAAGGCCUUCGGGUUGUAAAGCACUUUUGGCGGGAACGAAAAGAACUGUGCCAAUACCACGGUUCGAUGACGGUACCCGCAGAAUAAGCACCGGCUAACUACGUG